rnacentral:rRNA from 1 species
CCAAUAGCGUAUAUUAAAGUUGCUGCAGUUAAAAAGCUCGUAGUUGAAUUUCGGGACCGAUAUGUCGGUCGUGCCUCGGUACGUACUGGUAUUUUCGGUUUCUCCCUUCUGACGAACCUUGAUGUCAUUAAUUUGGUGUCUUGGGGAAUCAGGACUGUUACUUUGAAAAAAUUAGAGUGUUUAAAGCAGGCUCACGCUUGAAUACAUUAGCAUGGAAUAAUGAAAUAGGACGUUUGAUUCUAUUUUGUUGGUUUCUAGGAUUGACGUAAUGAUUAAUAGGGAUAGUUGGGGGCAUUAGUAUUCAAUUGUCAGAGGUGAAAUUCUUGGAUUUAUUGAAGACUAACUACUGCGAAAGCAUUUGCCAAGGAUGUUUUCAUUAAUCAAGAACGAAAGUUAGGGGAUCGAAGACGAUCAGAUACCGUCGUAGUCUUAACCAUAAACUAUGCCGACUAGGGAUCGGAUGAUGUUAAUUUUUUAAUGACUCAUUCGGCGCCUUACG